GACUUCGUGUAUGUUUGAUUUCUUUUAGACCCAACCAAGAARAGAAUCUGAAUGGUCAGACUCUAUGUCAUGUCUUAUAAAGAAACUGGAACAACUGAAUUUAGAUAUUGAAGAAGCUCUGAGUGCUGGCUCUUCUCCCUCCAGUACUCCUUCUGCCAAAAGGCACAAGCAACGGUGCCCUGUUCAAGUGGAGACUGGCUUUUAUGGAGCUCAUCAAGGAAAGGGAUCUUGGAAAAAUAGAAGAGCAGGCUACCAGGAUCUAGAUUGUUCAUCUUGCCCAGUGUCCACUGGAGCACGACCAAAAACUGAUGGCUCUGUAAGAGAAAGGUGGCUCACGGAUCAUGGGAUCCUUGACAUACUUAAAGUUGUGCCUGUUUUUAAAUAUCUGUUGAACAGAGACAUCAUUUUCAUCUCGCUAUACAUCGUUCAGAUUCAGGUGCUGCUUCAGAAGCUAUGCAAAGAAAAAG
rnacentral:lncRNA from 1 species